CUUACUAGCAGUUACUGGUUUAGGUUUUGCCAGUGAGAAACUCGUGUGUGAGACUUGGAAGGUGAACAAGAAGAAGAAGCCAUUGAUCUUCAGUGGGAGCUGCAGGCAGCUAUAUGGGCAUUGGAGAUGGCAGGACCAUAUGGACGGAACAGGAAUCUUAUGAGGGGAACACAUGUUAAGUACUGUCAGUAGAGGAUGCAGGAGAGACAUUGAGAGA
rnacentral:lncRNA from 1 species